rnacentral:tRNA from 1 species
ACUUUCUUAGUAUAAAAAAGUAUAUAAAGCUUCCAACUUUAAGGUUUUCACUAAGUAAGUA